AAGCAGAGUUUUCAGGACUGUAGCUGGAGGGCGGGGCCGCCUGGGGGCGGGCUCGAAUUGUGGGGCGGGGCCUGUGGAUGGGCGUGGUCGAGAUGAGGGGCGGGGCCUGUGGAGGGUGGGCUACCGGGGCGGAGCCGUUCGGGGAGGCGGUUGGCAGCACGCAGGCUCCGCGUUGAGCACUCGGGUUCCCACGCUGCCCUCUCAAGCCCGCACCGUGAGGGUUCGGUCCCUACUAAGCCUCGCUUCCUCCUCUUUCUCCGAGCUGCCCCCGAGAGGCGCCGCCACUUCCUGCAGGGCUAAAGAGCAGGGGUACGCGCCUGGGCCUGCGGCGCGGCGUCAGAGAAGAGGGAGAAGAGGGCAGGCUGGUUGUUGUCUGGAGGGGUUGUGGCCGCGGCAGCUUUCCAGAACGGUGGACCUCGGUAGAUCUGGGUGGGGGUCAUGAAGAGGGGCGGAGAAAGGUUGCCCUGGAAACGGAUUCGAUGCCCAGCGGGAGAUGAAAAAUUAAUACCAUGAAGAGAUACCAGAAGGAGGAAGCUGCAGUGCUGAUUGGACAAAAGCUGGAAUCUGGGUUUGAUGUUUGCACAUCCAAUGCUGAUCUUUCCAGAACCACCCAGCUGACUGCUUCUGCCCUGCAGAUUGCCUUCAACUGGUCACGAUCAUCAAGGAAAGAUGCAGAACUGUUCCCCGUUGAAGGAAACUAAAGAGAAAUGGAAACCAAAUGCAUUACUAUGAUUCUGAAGUGGCUCCUUCUGCCAUAAAGAAUACUUUGGGGACAACCAGUGAAACUUGACUUAGGACUAAAGACCACAAAGAGAAGUGGGACCAGAAGUGAAGAGCGAGCACUGCCUACAUUCCUGAGGCUUCUUGCCCUGUUCUUGUCCCUCCCGAGACCCAAUAGCAUUUCUACCCAUGGAUUCUGUGCCAUUCUCCUCUUGGAAUCUUCCAGGCCCCCUGGGAACUGGGGGACACAGAGCUUGCAGUGACAAUCAGGCAACCCAGCCAUGACGUGCUACAGAGCGUGGAGAAAGAGGAAAUUUGAUGGGUAUGUCCACAGAAUCCUUCUCAACACGGCAACACAGCCAGAUGAUCAGAGCAGGCACAUGGCACGCAUUUGCCAUCCCUCACCUUGGAAGGGUAAUUCUGAUGCUAAGAUGGUAAAACAUGAAGACGCACUGAGACAGCAAGCUCUAAUCCAAGGUCACAUAUGCAGAUGCCUUCAAGGACCACUCAGACUUCCUCAGUACAGUGGAUAAGAAUCUGCUUGCCAAUG